AACCUGGUUGAUCCUGCCAGUAGUCAUAUGCUUGUCUCAAAGAUUAAGCCAUGCAUGUCUAAGUAUAAACUGCUUUAUACUGUGAAACUGCGAAUGGCUCAUUAAAUCAGUUAUAGUUUAUUUGAUGGUACUUACUUACUCGGAUACCCGUAGUAAUUCUAGAGCUAAUACGUGCGUACAUCCCGACUUCUGGAAGGGACGUAUUUAUUAGAUAAAAGGCCGACCGGGCUUGCCCGACUCGCGGUGACUCAUGACAACUUCACGAAUCGCAUGGCCUUGUGCCGGCGAUGUUUCAUUCAAAUUUCUGCCCUAUCAACUUUUGAUGGUAGGAUAGAGGCCUACCAUGGUGGUAACGGGUGACGGAGAAUUAGGGUUCGAUUCCGGAGAGGGAGCCUGAGAAACGGCUACCACAU
rnacentral:rRNA from 1 species